GACGAACGCUGGCGGCGUGCUUAACACAUGCAAGUCGAACGGAAAGGCCUCUUUCGGGGGGUACUCGAGUGGCGAACGGGUGAGUAACACGUGAGUAACCUGCCCUUGACUUUGGGAUAACUUCAGGAAACUGGGGCUAAUACCGGAUAGGAGCUCCUGCUGCAUGGUGGGGGUUGGAAAGUUUCGGCGGUUGGGGAUGGACUCGCGGCUUAUCAGCUUGUUGGUGGGGUAGUGGCUUACCAAGGCUUUGACGGGUAGCCGGCCUGAGAGGGUGACCGGCCACAUUGGGACUGAGAGACGGCCCAGACGCCUACGGGAGGCAGCAGGGGGGAAUAUUGCACAAGGGGUGGAAGCCUGAUGCAGCAACGCCGGGUGCGGGAUGACGGCCUUCGGGUUGUAAACCGCUUUCGCUCAUGACGAAGCUUUGUGUGACGGUAGUGGGUAAAGAAGCACCGGCUAACUACGUG
rnacentral:rRNA from 1 species